UACGGGGGGGGCGAGCGUUGUUCGGAAUUACUGGGCGUAAAGGGCGCGUAGGCGGUUCGCUAAGUUGGAUGUGAAAACUCUGGGCUCAACCCAGAGCCUGCAUCCAAAACUGGCGGGCUAGAGUUCUGGAGGGGGUAGCGGAAUUCCUGGUGUAGCGGUGAAAUGCGUAGAUAUCAGGAGGAACACCGGUGGCGAAGGCGGCUACCUGGACAGAAACUGACGCUGAGGAGCGAAAGCGUGGGGAGCGAACAGG
rnacentral:rRNA from 1 species